rnacentral:rRNA from 1 species
AGCGAACGCUGGCGGCAGGCCUAACACAUGCAAGUCGAGCGGCCGUAGCAAUACGGCAGCGGCAGACGGGAGAGUAACACGUGGGAACGCGCCCUUCGGUUCGGGAUAACUCAGGGAAACUUGAGCUAAUACCGGAUACGCCCUUACGGGGAAAGAUCUAUUGCCGAAGGAACGGCCCGCGUCCGAUUAGCUUGUUGGUGAGGUAACGGCUCACCAAGGCGACGAUCGGUAGCUGGUCUGAGAGGAUGACCAGCCUCACUGGGACUGAGACACGGCCCAGACUCCUACGGGAGGCAGCAGUGGGGAAUAUUGGACAAUGGGCGCAAGCCUGAUCCAGCCAUGCCGCGUGGGUGAUGAAGGCCCUAGGGUUGUAAAGCCCUUUCAGCGGGGAAGAUAAUGACGGUACCCGCAGAAGAAGCCCCGGCUAACUUCGUGCCAGCCGCCGCCGUAACAC